CCUACGGGAGGCUGCAGUAGGGAAUAUUGCUCAAUGGGGGAAACCCUGAAGCAGCAACGCCGCGUGGAGGAUGAAGGUUUUAGGAUUGUAAACUCCUUUUGUUAGAGAAGAUUAUGACGGUAUCUAACGAAUAAGCACGGGCUAACUCCGUGCCAGCAGCCGCGGUAAUACGGAGGGUGCAAGCGUUACUCGGAAAAACUGGGCGUAAAGAGUGCGUAGGCGGGGUAAUAAGACAGAUGUGAAAUCCUGUAGCUUAACUACAGAACUGCAUUUGAAACUGUUACUCUGGAGUGUGGGAGAGGUAGGGUGAAUUGUUGGUGUAGGGGUAAAAUCCGUAGAGAUCAAGAAGAAUACUCAUUGCGAAGGCGACCUGCUGAAGCAUUACUGACGCUGAUGCACUAAAGCGUGGGGAGCAAACAGGAUUAGAUC
rnacentral:rRNA from 1 species